AGUACAGUGCCUGCUACAUAGUAGGUGCUUAACAAACACCACAAUUUAUUACUGUUAUCAUUAUUAUAUGCAUGGCUACGUUUUCUGCUUUGGAGGGACUGUCACCCCCUUCAGCCAAGGACCUGCGUGGAAGCACCGCUUCGUCUCUCUGACAAAACAACACCCCCUGGAAGACCUGCUAGGAAACUGAGUGGAAAACGAUCCGACCCACGCUGAUUGACAUCGAAGCUGCACUCUCAGUCUUCCUGGCUGUUUCCACCGUUCUACGUGACCGGUCUGGAUUCUUCCAAGGGCCCAAGGCCACAGUGCCACAUCUCCACGGAGGCCAACAGCCCCUGGAGGAGCAGAGAUGCCCGCCCUGCAAAGAAUACGCAAGCUUUGGGAGAGAGGAGCCCGAGGAUUCUUUUAUUUUUGCUGUCGGUCCUCUAAAGAGCAGUGAGCUGGAGGCCAGGUGAGGACGAGGCCUGGUAAGAAGGCCUGCUGUUGGGAUAAGUGAGGGCUCUCUCUCCCUUUGCCCCCCUGCCCCGCCUCACUGCACUCAGCCCCAGCCCCCAACCUCUUCC